GACGAACGCUGGCGGCGUGCCUAACACAUGCAAGUCGAGCGAGGAACUUCGGUUCCUAGCGGCGGACGGGUGAGUAACACGUGGGUAACCUGCCUCAAAGAGGGGGAUAGCCUCCCGAAAGGGAGAUUAAUACCGCAUAACAUUAAGCUUCGCAUGAAGUAGCAAUUAAAGGAGCAAUCCGCUAUGAGAUGGGCCCGCGGCGCAUUAGCUAGUUGGUGAGGUAACGGCUCACCAAGGCGACGAUGCGUAGCCGACCUGAGAGGGUGAUCGGCCACAUUGGGACUGAGACACGGCCCAGACUCCUACGGGAGGCAGCAGUGGGGAAUAUUGCACAAUGGGGGAAACCCUGAUGCAGCAACGCCGCGUGAGUGAUGACGGCCUUCGGGUUGUAAACUCCUUUUACGGGGGAAGAGGAAGGACGGUACCCCGAGAAUAAGUCACGGCUAAAUACGUGCCAGCCGCCGCAGUAACAC
rnacentral:rRNA from 1 species